rnacentral:rRNA from 1 species
AGUUUGAUCAUGGCUCAGGAUGAACGCUGGCGGCGUGCUUAACACAUGCAAGUCGAACGGAAAGGCCAGUGCUUGCACUGGUACUCGAGUGGCGAACGGGUGAGUAACACGUGGGUGAUCUGCCCUGUACUUCGGGAUAAGCUUGGGAAACUGGGUCUAAUACCGGAUAGGACAACUUUUUGGAUAUUGUUGUGGAAAGCUUUUGCGGUAUGGGAUGAGCUCGCGGCCUAUCAGCUUGUUGGUGGGGUAAUGGCCUACCAAGGCGUCGACGGGUAGCCGGCCUGAGAGGGUGUACGGCCACAUUGGGACUGAGAUACGGCCCAGACUCCUACGGGAGGCAGCAGUGGGGAAUAUUGCACAAUGGGCGCAAGCCUGAUGCAGCGACGCCGCGUGGGGGAUGAAGGCCUUCGGGUUGUAAACUCCUUUCGCUAGGGACGAAGCGUUUUGUGACGGUACCUGGAGAAGAAGCACCGGCUAACUACGUGCCAGCAGCCGCGGUAAUACGUAGGGUGCGAGCGUUGUCCGGAAUUACUGGGCGUAAAGAGCUCGUAGGUGGUUUGUCGCGUCGUUUGUGUAAGUCCACAGCUUAACUGUGGGACUGCAGGCGAUACGGGCAUAACUUGAGUGCUGUAGGGGAGACUGGAAUUCCUGGUGUAGCGGUGAAAUGCGCAGAUAUCAGGAGGAACACCGAUGGCGAAGGCAGGUCUCUGGGC